ACGGCCCAGGGUAGCACCCCUAUUAGAUUUUGUCUGUUCUUUUUCUUUUGUGCAUCAUCAUGCAUCAUGCAUCAUAUCUUCCACAAGAUUUUAUGAACUAAAAUUUAUUUCUAAAUAAAAACAUAUUUUGUUUCCUCUCUCUUGUCUCUGUUUGAAUUCAAAACUGCUUUUGUAUUUGAUUGUGUUUCAAACCAGUUUUUCAAAUCAAAAGAAAAAGAGAAAAAAAAACCCUUUCUAUCUUCCUGGCCUUCCUCUCUUCUUCCUGGCCCAUUCCCUCUUCCUCUCCUCUUCCCCGCGCAGCCCAGCUCGGCCUCGGCCCAACUCCACCUCCCCUCCAUUUCGGCCCGUACCCCUUCGUGGGAAAAGAACCUCCCAGUCCUUGUCGCCUUCCUCCUCACGAUGAUGGUGUGAGUGCCUGGUCCUCCACCACCGAGCGCCCCACCUCAACCACUCCCCUCCCCCUUUAUCUUUCGGCCUCCAGAAACCCUAGCUCGCCUCUCCUAUUCCUCCCUCUGGCCGCCGCCACUAUCUCCUCUUCUCCCCACCUCCCCUUUUUUCUCUCUGGGAACGAAGGAGAAACCCCACAGUACACCUCCUCCUCGCCGCCGUCCCAUCGAUUCCGGCCGCCCCUCGACGAACCGAAGACACCGGGAGAACCGCCUCGUCGAGCUCUACGUCGUGGUGCAAGGAAUCGAGUCAAUACCCCGUAAAUCGAGCGCGCGGUCGCCGUUUCUUCUCCGACCACCGGCGAGUUCAUCGUCGAUUCCGCCGGGCAUGGUGCCUCUCUGGCCUUCUCGUCGCCUCCAUCGUCUUCCCCAAGUCAGGGCGCACCUUCGACGCCCUGUACCUCGUCCCGGUUCGCCCGGGAGCUCCAGGUCCAUGCUCGACCAGGAUCUUCCGCCAUGGCUGCCAUCCGUGAGCUCUGCCUCUACUUUCUUCAUGUUGCUGCGCACCCUCAUGUCGACAUGAUCCAAACAGUACCAUACUGAUCAGGCGUUCACAGAUGCUUCACUUUGUGCCUGAGAUCAUCUUAGCCAACAUCAGCAACCAGCCUAGCUGAUCAGGCACCGCUGAUGGGCCUAGCCCAGAUCGAUCCGGCGCAACGCGUCGCCCGUGCGGCCGAAGCUCCCUCGUCGCUGCUCGCAGGCCUUGAGAGAUCCAGCCCACGCGCGGAUCCCUUCACGCACCCUGCAGCAUUUGCUUCUUCCCGGAUAGGAUCGCGAAGUGGUGCUGUGAGAUACGACAAGUUCUCCGGAUGUCCCUCGGCAAGCUUUAACAGGCAAGCAUUUCCCCUAUACUCCUGUCCCUGCAGGAGUCGCUCACCUAUUUUAUUUUGCCUUCUCCCUCAUGCUAUCCUUAAGUUGCGUUCUUGUCACGUGUCCUUUCCACUUGUUACCUCAAGCAGCCCAUAUUGCCACCACCACCUCCUACGGCUAUUGUUUGGUUAUCGGGUCUGCCUUGCGAGUCGUAGUGCAUGCUAGUGCUGUUUUAUCUCGUUACCGUUAUUGUUAUCUUAUCGGGUUAUAUGUUGGGAAGAAUCAUGGUUACUUUAGUUGUAGAUAAUUGUUUAGCGGAGGCAUCGGUGGGUCAGCUGCUCGUUUUGUGACGGCUCACUUGUGUUUCCUAAAUAACCUAGGACCCCGAGUUCUUGUUAUCUGUUCCGAGACUGAGCGCUCUAACCACACGUGGGUAUGCUUACCGGGUCUCCCCUCGACCACUGCCGGAAUCUACCGCUUUGUCCAGUGGUCACAACUAGUUUGGAUGUUUGUUUUGCUUCUCCCGGGCGUGCAAGCAUGUUUCUUUGUGGUCAGAUGAUAUGAUGUUACUUUUGGGGAAGCCGUGUGCCUUGUAACCCCGUUGUCUCUUGCACGUCCGUAGGUUGCGGAGCCGCUGCGAAGUGGUCAUCCCGCUGGGCACUGAUCACCUAGUACGCUGACGCAAUAGCUGAGUCCGCUUCGGAGCACGGCCGGACUCUGAUACGGGUUUAACUUAGUUAGGUGGCUUCCUGGACAUUGUUGUAGUGAAGGAGAGUGCGUGUCGUGAUAUCCACCUGUCGUAAGUGGGUUGAGCGUGCGUGUGGGCACAUUUGGGCACCCCUGCAGGGUUACAAUCUUAUCGAUAAGCCGUGUCCGCGGUUAUGGACAACUUGGAGCUGUAUGACUCGACCAUAGACAACUUACACCUGUUGUUUCAAUACUAAUAACUUGCAUAGUAAGAUAGAACAACCUAAAUAAUAACUGGUUAAAACUUGUCAACAGUGUGAGUGCCUUUGUAAGUACUUCUUUGCGAAGGGGGAAAGCGUCGGCUGUGUUAUGUUUGCAGAGUAUAGAACUGUUAGUUAUGCGCUCUCUCAUCUUCUCUGAUUAGACGACUGUUGUAGAGUGUCUCUAUAGGUUUUUAGUGCUUGCGCGCUGCCGCUUAACCCCACCAUAUUGCCUAUGACGUUCCUCUUGCGUCCUCUAAGUCCCCUGCGUGCCUCAAGUACAAAGGACGACUGGUUGACGAAUGCUUAUACGUCUUGAAGUCUUGUUAAGUACGAACCCGUACUUAUUGCUGCUUCUACGGGAUAUAACCGGGCAGGUAUGAAGAUAUGUUCGAUGAAGACGACGUUAACAGGUUACCCUUCCGGCUUGGCCUGGGCAGGGUUAUGGACGCCGCUGGUUAUCUUCAGGACUCUUAGUCCAAUUUGUAUCUUGUCCGUACUCGGACGUAUUCGAUCUUCUGUAUGAUUUGGAUCUUUGUAUUGUAUAUUUGUAUCUUGACUCGUUGGAGUCGUUGUUGUAAUAUAUGUUUCUUGUGGGCUCUAUUGUAAA